rnacentral:rRNA from 1 species
GGAUGUAUAGCAAUAGCUACUUGCAUCAUCCUUUUCUCAUUUUAUUCUUCUCGUUUUCUUCUUUUUAAGAAGAAAAUGAGAAGAAUAAAAGUAGAGAAAAGUAAAGAUGAUGCAAGAUCGACUAUGUCGAAUAAAAUUCUAGGUAGAAUUAUGAUAAUGACAUUGUCUGCCUAUGUGUCUUGACCAAAUUACGUGCCAGCAGUCGCGGUAAUACGUAGAAGACUAGUGUUAUUCAUGUUUAAUCGGUUUAAAGGGUACCUAGACGGUAAAUCAAGCUUUCAAAGAAAAAGAAGACAAAAUUGAUAGUAUAGUGAUAAUUAAAGGACUAAUUUACUAGAGUUACUUAUGAGGGGGUAUUAAAGUACUGCUGGUGUAGAGAUGAAAUUCUGUCAUACCUCUUUUCAAAAGAAAAAUGAUGGCACAGGUAUAGGCGAAGGCAUCCCCUUAUGUGAUAACUGACGUUGAAGGACGAAGG